AUUGACUUUAGAGUUUUCUAGGUCUUCCUUACAUACCUCUCUCCCCAGAUGAGAAAACAAGUUUACCACCAGAUGGUGCCUGUGAUUUCUGGAAAAAAAAUUGGGAGAAGAGUUGCCAAACCACAGACUUCUCAGAAAAAUUCAAAUCUUGAUGAAAUCCCCUCUACUAGUCUGGCUAUUUCAGUUGUAAGUUUUUGUGCCUCUAGCUCCUUCUGCAUAAUUUACCCACAGCCUCUUUUUCUCCCCAGAAGUGUUUACAUAAAAUCCUACAGGCACAAGGAGUCAGCAGGGUGGUAUCAGCUGAAACUCAGCAAGGUCAAUCAGAAAGGCUUGCUGGGAAGGGAUUUAAGGCGGAAGGAAGGACUUUGUAGUUGUUGUAAAGGUGGCGUCAUAUCUAUUCCUACUUCUGAUUUCUCUGUGAGAGUUCUGGAAACAUCUUGUGGGACUUAUUGAAACGUGCAUCCCUUUCAUUGCCACAUACAGUGAAAUGAAGAUAAUUUAAAGAAAUAUAUGACCAUAUAUUCUCAUCCUUGAAUAUCUUGAAGCACCCUUGAAGCUUAGCGUAAAAGUAACAGGCCCUCAAACAGAAGCUUUCUACUUUCAUUUAGCCCGGUUAUUGUUGCUGCUGCUGCUGCUGCUGCCGCCACCUUUGCUUUGUGAUAAAAUCCAAAAAAUCAUCACCAAGAUCGAUGUCAAAGAAUUUACUGGCUCUUUUUUUUCUAGGAAUUUUACAGAUUCUGGACCAUUCAGGUUUUUAACCCAUUUUGAUUUUUUGUAUAUGGUAUAAGAAAGUGGUCCAGUUUUAUUUUGCCUAUAAUUGUCCAACUUCUCCAACACCAUUUAUUGAACAGACUGUUUACCCCAGUAUAUAUUCUGGCCUCCAUCGUUGUAUAUUACUUGACCAUAUAAACUUGGGUUUAUUUUGGGGAAGUCUAUUCUGUUGUAUUGAUUUAUGUGUCUGUGCUAGUAUUACACUGUUUUCAUUAUUAAAGCUCUGCAGUAUAUUUUGAAAUCUAGGAUUGUGAUAUUUCGAACUUUGUUCUUUUAAGAUGGCUUUGACUCAUAGAGGUCUUGUGUGGUUCCAUACCAAUUAUAAAAUAAUUUACUCUCUUUCUGUGAAAAAUGCCAUUGGAACUGGUGGGGAUUGCAUUAAAUGUUCAUGUUACUUUGGGUAUGGACACUUUAACGUUAUUCUUUCAAUCCAUGGUAACAAAUAUCUUAUUAGUGUCUUCAGUUUCUCAUCAAUGUCCUCAAGUUUUGGGUAUACAAGUCUUUUACCUCAUUGGUUGAAUUUAUAUCUAAGUAUUUUUGAUGUAAUAAGUGAAAUUAUUUUAAUAUUUUCUGAUACCCUGUUAUUAGUGUAGAGAAGUACAAAAGAUUUUUAUACAUUGAUUUUGUAUUCUGCAACUUUACUGAAAUUUUUACCAGUUCCAAAAGCUUUUUAGUGGGGGCUUUAGUAUUUUCUAUAUAUGUCAUAUGCAAAUAGUAAUAGUUUUACUUCUUCCUUUCCAACGUAGAUUUUUUUUUCUUUUUCUUGCCUAAUUGCUCUUGCUAGGAUUUCUUCUAUUACGUUGUUUAAAAGGUAAGAGUGAAAAUUCUUGUCGUGUUCUUGCUCUUAGAGGAAAAGCAUUCAGUUUUUCACUGUUGGAGUAUGAUGUUAGUUGUGGCCUUCUAAAAUACGGCUUUUAUUGGGGUGCUUGGGUGGCUUAGUUAGUUAAACGACCGACUUCAGCUCAGGUCACAAUCUCCUGACUUGUGAACUCAAGCCCCACAUCGGGCUCUGUGCUGACAACGCAGAGCCUGAAGCCUGCUUCAGAUUCUGUGUCUACCUCUCUAUCUCUCUUCCUGCUCCCUGCUCACACUCUGUCUCUCUCACAAAAACAAACAUUGAAAAAAUUGAAAAAAAAUAUGCCUUUUAUUAAGUUGGAAUAUUUUCCUUACAUACCCACUUCAUUGAGAAAUUUUUAAACUGCAAAUGUAUAUGGAAUUGUGUCAUAUUUUGAGAUGAUUAUAGGAUUUUCAUCCUUCAUUUUGUAAAUGUGUCAUGUUGACUUUCAGAUGAACUACCAUCCUUGCAUUCCUGAAAUCCCAUUGAUCAUGGUAUCAUCCUUUUCAUGUAUUAAUAAAUUUACUUCUCUAAUAUCUAUUAAGGAUCCUCGCAUCUAUGUUUCUUAGGAA